AUGUUCUAAAGUAAAUACUACCUUAAUAUCUUCAAUAUUACACUCUUAUUAAGCUAUUAAAAC
rnacentral:tRNA from 1 species